AGGGGAAGCUGUGAAUGGCAGUGAAUGAAGAGAUUGAAAAAAUCCCUGAAAGCGGUACCUGCUAACAGAAGACGAUAUAAAGCUACAAGAAUUUCAGCAGACAAAAGUGGUAAUUAGAAAUGAAAUUCAGGGCAACAAAGGUUUAAGUGUAUGAAAACUCCUCUUUUUGAGGAAACUUGAAUCUACCUUGAGAAAUCAGGCAA